rnacentral:rRNA from 1 species
CUACGGGCGGCUCCAGUGGGGAAUAUUGGACAAUGGGCGAAAGCCUGAUCCAGCCAUGCCGCGUGGAUGAAGAAGGCCCUAGGGUUGUAAAGUCCUUUCGGUGGUGAAGAUAAUGACGGUAACCACAGAAGAAGCCCCGGCUAAUUUCGUGCCAGCAGCCGCGGUAAUACGAAAGGGGCUAGCGUUGUUCGGAAUUACUGGGCGUAAAGCGCACGUAGGCGGCCUUGUAAGUUGGGGGUGAAAUCCCGGAGCUCAACUCCGGAACUGCCUUCAAAACUACAAAGCUAGAGGAUGUGAGAGGAGAGUGGAAUUCCGAGUGUAGAGGUGAAAUUCGUAGAUAUUCGGAAGAACACCGGUGGCGAAGGCGACUGUCUGGCACAUUUCUGACGCUGAGGUGCGAAAGCGUGGGGAGCAAACAGGAUUAGAUACCCUCGUAGUC